rnacentral:rRNA from 1 species
UACGUAGGUGGCAAGCGUUGUCCGGAAUUAUUGGGCGUAAAGCGCGCGCAGGCGGUUCCUUAAGUCUGAUGUGAAAGCCUACGGCUCAACCGUGGAGGGUCAUUGGAAACUGGGGGACUUGAGUGCAGAAGAGGAGAGCGGAAUUCCACGUGUAGCGGUGAAAUGCGUAGAGAUGUGGAGGAACACCAGUGGCGAAGGCGGCUCUCUGGUCUGUAACUGACGCUGAGGCGCGAAAGCGUGGGGAGCAAACAGGAUUAGAUACCCUGGUAGUC